AACGCGAAGAACCUUACCCAGGCUUGACAUCCUUGGAAUUUCUCCGAAAGGAGAGAGUGCCUUUGGAACCAAGUGACAGGUGAUGCAUGGCCGUCUUCAGCUCGUGUCGUGAGAUGUUUGGUUAAGUCCAUCAACGAGCGCAACCCUUAUGUUUAGUUGAAUUUCUCUAAACAGACUGCCCUGGUAACAGGGAGGAAGGGGGGAGUGAUGUCAGGUCAGUAUUUCCCUUACGUCUGGGGCGUACAAACACGCUACAAUGGCCAGUACAAAGGGCAGCCAAGUCGCAAGGCGGAGCAAAUCCCAUCAAAACUGGUCUCAGUUCGGAUUGCAGGCUGAAACUCGCCUGCAUGAAGCCGGAAUCGCUAGUAACGGUAAGUCAGCACAUUACCGUGAAUACGUUCCCGGGCCUUGUACACACCGUACGUC
rnacentral:rRNA from 1 species